CACUUUUCAAGGAAGAAAGAAAGGUGGGAGUCCUUUCCAGGACAAUUUUGACAAGAGCAACCCUCAUUAUGAACACGGUGGGCAUGAGCUUCCGCCUUCAGAGCACCAGGAGAAUGAUGGAUGCUUGGAGAUGGGAGAUGUCCACAAGGACCGCCAACUAAGACACACUCCUUAUGGCAUCAAACGCAACAGGAAGCUAGUGAAAUGGCAUAGUGAAGACCAAAUCCAUACUACCACAUGGAGAAACAGAAAACGUCCAGAGAGAAAAAUGAUGGAGGACACACAAGAUGGACAAACGAGGGCCUGGUUCAAGGUCACAAUUCCUUACGGGGGAAAGUAUGACAAGGCAUGGCUAAUCAAUUCAAUCCAGAGCCAUUGCAGUGUCCCCUUCACUCCGUUUGAUUUCCACUACUUCCAAAAUCGGGCACACUUCUUUGUGCAAGGUGCUAGUACUGCCUCCGCAUUGAAGGAUGUCAACUAUACGAUUUGUGAUGACCACAACCGGAAGAUAUGUAUAUUUGUCAAUCAUUCUACUGCGCCCUUCUCUGUGAAGAAUAAGUUGAAGCCAAGCGAAAUGGAGUUGCUGAAGCUGACCAUGGACAAACGAUAUGAUGUCUCCCAGCAAGCUCUUGAUCUCCAAAGUCUCCGCUUUGACCCAGACUUGAUGGACCGUGAUAUUGUUAUAAUCCUGAAUCGAAGAAACUGCAUGGCUGCCACUCUGAAGAUCAUUGAAUCGAAUUUCCCUGAGCUACUGUCCUUGAACUUGUGCAACAACAAACUGUACCAGCUGGAUGGCCUGUCUGACAUUACAGAGAAGGCCCCCAACGUCAAGAUCCUUAACCUCUCCAAAAAUGAGCUGAAGUCGGUGUGGGAGUUGGGCAAGGUGAAAGGGCUGAAGCUCGAAGAGCUGUGGCUAGAAGGGAACCCCUUGUGCAGCACCUUCUCUGACGAGUCCGCCUAUGUAAGUGCCAUCCAGGAUUGUUUCCCCAAGUUGUUACGCCUGGACGGCCAAGUGUUAUCCUCAGCAACGACUGUUGACAUUGACAGCUCUGAGUUAAUGAAACCCUGCAAGGAAAGCUGUAAUGGAUCUGAGACCCUAAAGCAUAUGGUCCUGCAGUUCCUGCAGCAGAAGAGCUUGAGCCAGUACUUGGAGGAUAGCAGGAAUAUGAAAACACUCAAGGACCCCUACCUGAGGGAGGAACUGCUGAAACAUACAAAACGUGACAUUGUGGACUUCCUCAGUGCGUUGCCCAAGACUCGGCAUGACCUCAGCUCCAUCCUGGUGGACAUGUGGUACCAGACGGUGAGCACCUGCUUCCUCCCUCGGGCAGGCCCAGAGAGCCAGAGAUGGUGGUGUUUGUUGUCUUUGAAGUGGAAGGACAGUCUCAGGGUUCUGUUCUCGCCUUCACCCGGACCUUCAUCGCUACCCCUGGUAGCAAUUCCAGUCUGUGCAUCGUGAAUGACGAGCUGUUUGUGAGGGACGCCAGCCCCCAAGAGACUCAGAGUGCCUUCUCCAUCCCAGUGUCCACACCCUCCUCCAGCUCUGAGCCCUCCCUCUCCCAGGAGCAGCAGGAAAUGGUGCAGGCUUUCUCUGCCCAGUCUGGGAUGAAGCUGGAAUGGUCUCAGAAGUGCCUUCAGGACAAUGAGUGGAACUACACCAGAGCUGGUCAGAUCUUCACUAUGCUCCAGACUGAGGGCAAGAUCCCAGCAGAGGCCUUCAAGUAGAUCCCCUGAAAGGAGCCCUUCCGUGUCUUCCUUGUCUUCGUUCACAUCCUCUGUGUUUCCUCUUUUCACCAGCCUAAGGCCAUGCUCAGGAGCUGCAUUGGAGGCCUGGUUGAUCAGGAAGCCAAAGUUAACUGGCAGGCUGCAUGGCAUAACCACCCGAAGAGCCACUUGCUCUGUGUAUUUGCCCCACUCAUGAUCACUGUUUAUUUUCAUAAUAAAGAGUGAUGUUGCAUGCUGUAUGUU